UACAGAGGUCCCAAGCGUUGUUCGGAUUCACUGGGCGUAAAGGGGGCGUAGGCGGUCGGGUAAGUCUGGCGUGAAAUCUCCAAGCCUAACUUGGAAACUGCGUUGGAUACUAUCCGGCUCGAGGAAUGGAGGGGAGACUGGAAUACUUGGUGUAGCAGUGAAAUGCGUAGAUAUCAAGUGGAACACCAGUGGCGAAGGCGAGUCUCUGGACAUUUCCUGACGCUGAGGCACGAAAGCCAGGGGAGCAAACGGG
rnacentral:rRNA from 1 species